rnacentral:rRNA from 1 species
GUGGGGAAUAUUGGACAAUGGGCGAAAGCCUGAUCCAGCCAUGCCGCGUGUGUGAAGAAGGUCUUCGGAUUGUAAAGCACUUUAAGUUGGGAGGAAGGGCUGCAAGCUAAUACCUUGUAGUUUUGACGUUACCAACAGAAUAAGCACCGGCUAACUUCGUGCCAGCAGCCGCGGUAAUACGAAGGGUGCAAGCGUUAAUCGGAAUUACUGGGCGUAAAGCGCGCGUAGGUGGUUUGGUAAGAUGGAUGUGAAAUCCCCGGGCUCAACCUGGGAACUGCAUCCAUAACUGCCUGACUAGAGUACGGUAGAGGGUGGUGGAAUUUCCUGUGUAGCGGUGAAAUGCGUAGAUAUAGGAAGGAACACCAGUGGCGAAGGCGACCACCUGGACUGAUACUGACACUGAGGUGCGAAAGCGUGGGGAGCAAACA